rnacentral:rRNA from 1 species
UACGUAGGUGGCGAGCGUUGUCCGGAAUCAUUGGGCGUAAAGGGAGCGCAGGCGGGCGUGUAAGUCUUUCUUAAAAGUUCGGGGCUCAACCCCGUGAUGGGAAAGAAACUACAAGUCUUGAGUACAGGAGAGGAAAGCGGAAUUCCCAGUGUAGCGGUGAAAUGCGUAGAUAUUGGGAGGAACACCAGUGGCGAAGGCGGCUUUCUGGACUGCAACUGACGCUGAGGCUCGAAAGCCAGGGGAGCGAACGGG